ACUUGCUCGCGUGCUGAACGCUACACGACGUCGGUUCGCCGCUACUCCGGUUCACGGUUCGCACAAGGCUCGGGGAUCGGUUUUCUUCGUUUUACUAGCUUUACUCCAGCUAGCACCCAAACCCAACCCAGCGAUUUUUUUUUUGUGCUUGCUUGUACGGGCCGGACCCGUUCGAGAUCGUCAAGGGCGUCGCGGUUUAUUUGGUUUUUCGCUGGGUUUAAUUGGGCUGAAAUUUGUGCGAAAAGUUGCGAUUGCUACGCAAUCAAGGAAGUGAUUUUCGUGAGGUUUUGGCUGCCGAAAAGGCCUCCAAUUGAGAGAAAAAUAGGUGCCUACUACGAUGUGUGUGAUUUACUUGCCUUGAAAGCAGUGGGUUUAGCUGUGCGAAAAAAGAAAAAAAAGGAGAGAGAAGAAAGAAAUACACAGAAGAGAGUGCGUUGUGUUUGAGUGCAGCUUCGUAUCUUCGUGCGCUUGUGGAAUGAUUGCUUAUCGCUUUCUUCGCUCAGUGUAAGUGGCUUAAUACAGUAGAAGAAAAAAAACGACGACGACGUCGGAUAUGUGUAUUUGUGGCUAUCUCUUCUUAUGAUAAGAAUUUCCAACUGAAAAUAAUAGGAAGUGAGAAUUGUGCAUUUCCUACUGCUGCUGGUGUGAUUCAACCCCAUUGAAAUCUGCGGCUCUCAUCUAAUUACAAAACAUCAUCGUUGAAAAUCCAACCAUCGUUGUUAAUCGGAAAUUUAACAAUAUAAUUAGUGUGGUGCCGUACAGUUCAAUUAAACGAAAUAUUUUCCUAGAGAAUAAAAAUAUUAGCUAGACCGUGUUUGAGUGUGGUUUGUUCCCCCCGAAUUCGAAAAAAAAAACAACAAAAAUCAUUACUGUAAUCUCCAAUUGGCAUUCACCCGAAAAUGAUGUUUCCCUUCCACCCCAACCACAAGUGUAACACGGCGUGAGUUUCGCGUUAAUGCCCCCGAAACGUAAGCGCAAGAAGCGAUCUACACGCGAGUUCCAACAACGGUCCCCGGUGACCGUUUUGAGUGUCCCCGAUUCUUUCCGGCUUUCAGAAUGGAUCGGCUACAGCGCGUCAUAUUUCUGUUUGGCUGGGUGCUAGCUCUGGGUCUGGUGGAGACUUCCAGCCCGUUAAGUGUGAUUCAACCGCAGACCCAGCAACAUCCACAUCUACCCCUGCAACACCCCCAAGCAGUGCCACCGGCGGAGAACAGUCCUCCGGUGCCAUCGGGAAUUGGCAGCCCCAGUGGAUUGAUAAUCGAAGAUUCACCGAUCGCACCAUCUUCGCAGUACAUCGUGGCGAAGGACGUGUGGAGUAGUGGAGGUGGAGUUUCUGCUGGAGGAGGAGGUGCUAGCAAUUAUCACAACCAUCACAACCACCAACAACAACAGCCAAACCACAAUCAGUACCACCCCUCACAGCCCAUAUCCUCUAGGGAUUCCAGCUCCAGUAGUAGCGGUAGUAGUAGUAGUAACCCUAGUGAUGACCCCCAUCGAUCUCCGCUGGUCCCCGAUAGUAACGAUACUUUCCGUUAUCUUGUCCCAGGGGCUGGCGCCGGAGGUGGUUCCAGCUUCAGCUGGACCUGGUUCUUCAGUGGCAACGAGUGGACACUGAUGGAGUGCUUCUCGCUGCGCAGGACUCACCAUCUGUACUAUCAGAUCGGGAAUGGGUUGUUCUUGCUGGCCUUCCUGGCACCGAACGCUCCCUUCGGGAUGCUCUGGUUGCGCUGUGUUGUGAUCGCCGGUUGCGUGCUGCUGAUCAUCUGGGGCUGGCAGGUCGAGUGCACCGUCGAUGCCGUCAUCUGGGCCAGCCUCUUUCUCAUCAUCAACGCCAUCUACGUGGGAGCACUGCUGUGCAAACUGCGCCCGGUGAAGUUCGAGAAGGAGAUUGAAGCGGUGUAUGUGGCCCUCUUCAAACCGUUGAGGGUGUCCCGGCAUCAGUUCAAGAAGGUGCUGAACUGCAUGAAACUGGUCCGGUCGCUCAAGUACCAGGAGAUCUACGCACAGGAGAAGGUCACCAAGGUGGACAGUCUGUCGCUGGUGCUGUCGGGGAAGCUGGUGGUUUCCCAGAAUCAAAAAGCACUGCACAUCGUCUUCCCGCACCAAUUUCUGGACUCACCCGAGUGGUUUGGAGUGUCCACGGAUGAUUAUUUUCAGGUAUCAAUCAUGGCGAUGGAAGAGUCUCGGGUUCUAAUCUGGCACCGGGACAAACUGAAACUGUCAAUUAUGGCGGAACCGUUCCUGCAGGCCGUGUUCGAUCACAUCCUCGGGCGGGAUGUCGUGAAGAAGCUGAUGCAGGUGACGCAGGUCAGCGAAACGAUGGCCCAAAGCAACGGGUACAUUUCCUCCGGUUACGGUGAGGACGCCGAAGACAAACCGAUGCUGGUGAUGAAGAACAGCAAAUCUGGCGAGAGUAACGGCGGUGGAGGCCACGGGAUCACAGCACUCAUCAACCGGCAGCUGCAGGAAGAAGAGAGUCUACCGCUGCUGCUGAACACGGCCAAUCCGUCACCGUUGAUGUCACUCCAUAUGCGACUGCUGCACUCGGUCGAGAACAAGUUCAUCAAGAAGAUCUACGACGUGUGACGGGCCCCGGGCACCUCAACAACAACGUUUCGAAGUCUAGUCCCUCAAAUUGGUUCAGUUUGAGAUUGUAUUUUUUUACCUAUAUUUGUUUGUUAGUUUGAUCAUACCGCUUUCUUUUGAGAGAGAUUUUUCUAUGUCUACGUGAAAACUAUUUACGUCUUGAAAGCUGCAACGCAAUCGAAGAAGUCUCCUAACAACGACAAUCAACAACAACAACGAAUUCGAACGGAACGUACAGCAACGAACUCCUCAACAAGUCUGACCUAUUUUGUUUUAUUCAUAAUCUGAUUUUGAGCGUAACUUUUUUCGCUCUGCCUAGGAUAUCGAAAUACUACUACUGUGCGGCGGAUCCGAACGCGUGGCGACUCGGCCGAAUCGACGAAACCGACCACGAGACGGCCGUUUAAUAUUAGGCCUGGCGGUGCUCCUCCUCCUCCUCCGGACGGCAACUUCCUCCCAACCAUCAACAGCAACAGCGGCAGUUUUGUCCCCUUGGGCAACCGAUCGGCACCGGUGGUGGCAGCAGCAGCAGCAAUGUCCUGCCGGGGGAUCUGCAUCACGGCAUCAUCGCACUGGAUGUCGACUGGACACGGCUAGAAGCACUGCAGCAGCAGCAGCAGGAGAGGAGGAGCACCGAAUCGAAUGGCAGUGGGUGGUAAAAAGCUGCGCUUUUUACCGUUCCCAGAAUCAAUUAAUUAUUGCGUAAACAGAUCACCUUUCAGGGCGCCGCAAGUAGCAGCAGGUCCGGGCGUCUGUUUCCUCGCUGCGCUAAUUAGUAUUUUGCAAAGAAAAAAAAAAUACCUAUAUACUUUCUUGGCUUAGUUCCUGCGUUCUUUGUUGUACAAUUGUUCGAUAGGAAAUAUUUAUAUUUAUACGUAUAUCUGUAGUUCUUAUAAUGAUGAGUCAAAGCGAAAAGAAGUUUUCCCCCUCAGAUGAACACCCUAGAAGCAGCACUCAUAGAGAAACAAAAGAUGGAAGCCUUGUUGCUGAAUUUUCUUGUGCUAUCUUGUGAUCAAAGGAAAGGAUCCGUGUGUAGAAAUAAACAAACACAAAAUUUCACUAGACAGAAACAGAAUCAACACACAAAGGGUGUAAAAUAAUUAGUCAUAAAAUAUAGUUACUGUUAUAGAUGAUUAUGAUGAAGUUAUAAUCUUGAAGCUCUUGAUGUUAGAAGUUAAAUUUAGUUAACCAGCAGAAGAAAUAAAACCAAACGUUACAAAAAUCUAAAAGAGUUGGGAAUUACAAUUGAAAGGAAAAAACGAAUGGAUGGAAAACAUUCGUUAAAAGUUGUAGGUAGGAUCAAAUAAAAAAACGAGCUAAAACCAAGAGAAUAACAACCUAUAAGCUAAACCAGAGAUUAAUAAAAAAAUCAAUCUAAUCCCGAAGGAGAAUGAAGUUAACUUCCAGUGUUAAUAAUGUAUUGAAACAAUAAUUUAAAAAGAGAAGAAAAAUAACUUAACACGACACGAGCUGAUGACAAGUGAAACAACCAAGGGACGAGCAAAAUGGAACCCAUUACCUUACUACAAGUUUGUUUUCGAGCAAGCGAAAAAAAAGCGAAUGACUGUGUGUUUGUCUGUCAGAAAGAGAGAAAGAGAAACUAUCUUGUAGGUUAGUUAGAUUUAAACGGACUGCUGCAGCGAAAGCAAAGUACGGAACGGCUCUCGGAACGAAAAUGAAACAAAAAAGUGCUAGCGAUACAUACCUAAUACAGAAAAAAAAACAGAGAGAGAUAGAGAUUUAAUCGUUCUAAUCGAAAGAGUAAUUAUUAUUUUAAAAUAAACCAGAGAUACGCCAAUUUGA